ensembl:lncRNA
UCACUCAGCAGACUGCCUUCGCUUCUCCCAGGUUUCAGGUUACAGUCAAGACAGGAAGACAGGCAGCUGGACAGAUCACUUCAAUGCAAUGUGAUAUAUGCUAAGGCAGAGAAAUGCACGAGGAGCUCGUAGAGAACACAGAAGAGGCAUCCAACCCAGCCUGUAGAUCAGGAAAUGCUGCCAGGAGAAGGUGACUCCAGAGAGGCAUCUUGAUGGGCAUCCUGCCAGCCAAGCUGCCUGAAUAGCAGGUUAAAUGGUCACUCAACUGUCAUCGAACUCCUUUUCCCUUUCAGAAGCAACUGGAGGCAAGCCAACGCCCAUUACUGACCUAGUUCCACAGCAUCUUAAGAUUUCCACAGUGGUUUCUACUAGCCAAUUCUCAUGUCAACACAUGCUUCAAGUUAGUUUUGUUAUUAGUGGUUUGUAAGUGGAGAGACUCCAAUACAGAUAUAGAAACCUGUUCGUGUCUCCUACAUUUAAUUCAGAGUCAGACCAUAGGAAGCUAUUUUCAAAGUUACACUAAUUCUUUCAAAUCUCUAGGAAAUGUACUUAGUAGGGUGUCAUUUGUGAAGAAAUUUUAAUAUAAACAUCUCUUGCUUUUGGAAUUCAAAUACUUUUGUGGCCUAGUUAUGAAAAGUGAAUCUCCUCCACUGGUUUUUAUUGUAUUAUUGAAGAUACAUUCAAAUUUUUAAUCUCUUUAAAGAGAUGAAUGCAUUAUUGCCAUCUCUUUGAGCCUGUCUUUUCAAGUCUCUUACAUUUUAUCUUGUGUUAUUGGCCCUCUUUGAGGGACUGAGGUAUCUUUCUAAUCCUAAUAAAUUAAAAGUGUUUUGAGGGC